CAGAGUUCAUGCCCUAACGGGUAGACCUCCCACCCUUGUGUAUUUAUACUUUGUUGCUUUGGCGAGCUGCGAUGGGCUUUACUGCCCAGAGCCCUAGGCUUUCGAGCCUAAGAGUCGCUCGCCGAAGGAAAAAUAACCCUGAUAAUUAAUGUCGUCUGAGUACUAUAUAAUAGUUA
rnacentral:misc_RNA from 1 species